rnacentral:rRNA from 1 species
UCUUUAUAUCUUAAAGGUUUAUUCUUUUUAGGGGAUGUUUGAAUUAAAAGGAAAGAUAUUUCGUUGGGGUGACGAGAAGAUAAUAAAACCUCUUCUUAAUAAGGCACAUAAAUUAAUGAAUAAAUGAUCCAUUAUUAGUGAUUAGAAGAACAAGU